rnacentral:rRNA from 1 species
CGCUGGCGGCAUGCUUUACACAUGCAAGUCGAACGGCAGCGCGGGGCAACCUGGCGGCGAGUGGCGAACGGGUGAGUAAUAUAUCGGAACGUACCCAAGAGUGGGGGAUAACGUAGCGAAAGUUACGCUAAUACCGCAUACGAUCUAAGGAUGAAAGUGGGGGAUCGCAAGACCUCAUGCUCCUGGAGCGGCCGAUAUCUGAUUAGCUAGUUGGUGAGGUAAAGGCUCACCAAGGCUACGAUCAGUAGCUGGUCUGAGAGGACGACCAGCCACACUGGAACUGAGACACGGUCCAGACUCCUACGGGAGGCAGCAGUGGGGAAUUUUGGACAAUGGGCGCAAGCCUGAUCCAGCAAUGCCGCGUGAGUGAAGAAGGCCUUCGGGUUGUAAAGCUCUUUUGUCAGGGAAGAAACGGUGGGAGCUAAUAUCUCCCACUAAUGACGGUACCUGAAGAAUAAGCACCGGCU